CCUUGUACACACCGCCUGUCACACCACGAGAGUUUGCAACACCCGAAGUCGGUGGGGUAACCCUUACGGGAGCCAGCCGCCGAAGGUGGGGCAGAUGAUUGGGGUG
rnacentral:rRNA from 1 species